rnacentral:rRNA from 1 species
AGGAUGAACGCUGGCGGCGUGCUUAACACAUGCAAGUCGAACGAUGAAGGCUGGAGCUUGCUCUGGCUGGAUUAGUGGCGAACGGGUGAGUAACACGUGAGUAACCUGCCCCAGACUCUGGGAUAAGCGCUGGAAACGGCGUCUAAUACCGGAUACGAGCUUCCACCGCAUGGUGAGGAGCUGGAAAGAAUUUCGGUCUGGGAUGGACUCGCGGCCUAUCAGCUUGUUGGUGAGGUAAUGGCUCACCAAGGCGACGACGGGUAGCCGGCCUGAG